rnacentral:lncRNA from 1 species
AUCAAGAGAGCAUCCCAGCAGUGCCAUCACAACACAGGGCUCGAAUGUGGACAGGAGGAGGACCUAAGUGGACCCGGAGGCUGAGCUGGCCUCGCAGCACUGGUGGUGGGGGAGGGCUGAUGGUCAGGACUCUGGGUCUUUGGCACUGCUGCCUAGGCCGUGGCCCUCAGUCUGCCCAUCUGUGAAAUGAGGGGGAGCUGGUCCUGACUGCCUCCCAGGGACCCUGUGAAAAGCCGCUCUGAACUCCUUGCCAGAGAGGAGGUUUGCCGGUGCCACAAUCCAGAGCUGAGAUUUCUUUACAUCACAGUGGUUCAAGGAGAAAAACACAGCCAGAUCCUUCCUCAUCUCAACAUAAAUUAAACCCAGAGGCAGUCAGCGCCACAGUCCACACUCGUAACCGUUACACUCACCUGGAAAUAAAAGUAUUUUUGUGCGGGGACUGCAAGGACUAAGCCCGGCCGCACUCCGAGUUUCUCCUCCUCACAGACUGGAUGAUGAGAGGCACAGCUGAGUCCGGAGCAGACUGAGCCACCUAAGAGGGGAGGAACCGCUGCAGAGAAACCGUGUUAAGCCUUUUUGAAGUUCCAGAGGGAGAACAAGAGAGCGGAGGCUCCUGGUGGCUGGUGACAGGUGCUGAUUUGUUCUGGGGAAAGAGCACAGAAAAGUGCCUGGAGAGGAGGCGGGGCCAAAAUGGGAUGUAGGCGAUGGGAAGGACCCUCAAGACACAGUCCUGGGCUCCCAGGCAGGACCAACCCCCAAACCUGUCCCCCCAGGAGCCUGCAGAGCCACUGCCCUGACAGGGGACACCUCACUUCCUCUCCUUGCAGCUGCUCUUGGCUGGGAGAGCAGAGAACAGGGGACAGGAGAGAAGCCCCGAGAGUACUGAAGCUGAGGCUGGGGCGGUCUUCACUUCCCUCUUUCCUCGGCCCUUUUCCUGUUCUCUUGUCUUGUCUCUCUUUCUCUACUUUCCUUCUCCCUAGCCCAGUCUCUCACCGCUCUUCAGCCUCUGGGCCUUUCCUUCUUCCUCUCUUGCCCUCAUUCUUCCUUCUCUGUCCCUCUUGUCUUCUCUUUUACCUCUUCUCUUCUUCCCUCCUUCCUACAGCUAUGCCCUCUUCCCUCCUUUCUCUUGUCCCCAACCAGGGCAUUAGAAAUGCAUUCCAGUUACACUGAUCUGAUCACUGCAUAUUGUAUGCAUGCAUCAAAAUAUCACAUGUACCCCAGAAAUAUGUAAAUUACUGCAUAUCAAUAAAAAGAAAUGUAGCUUCUUUGCCUCACA